rnacentral:rRNA from 1 species
AGCGAACGCUGGCGGCAGGCUUAACACAUGCAAGUCGAGCGGGCAUCUUCGGAUGUCAGCGGCAGACGGGUGAGUAACACGUGGGAACGUACCCUUCGGUUCGGAACAACUCUGGGAAACUGGAGCUAAUACCGGAUACGCCCUUAUGGGGAAAGGUUUACUGCCGAAGGAUCGGCCCGCGUCUGAUUAGCUAGUUGGUGGGGUAACGGCAUACCAAGGCGACGAUCAGUAGCUGGUCUGAGAGGAUGAUCAGCCACACUGGGACUGAGACACGGCCCAGACUCCUACGGGAGGCAGCAGUGGGGAAUAUUGGACAAUGGGCGCAAGCCUGAUCCAGCCAUGCCGCGUGAGUGAUGAAGGCCUUAGGGUUGUAAAGCUCUUUUGUCCGGGACGAUAAUGACGGUACCGGAAGAAUAAGCCCCGGCUAACUUCGUG